GGAACGGCGCGUGGGCCCGGGCAGAAGCUGCUGGCGGUAGGCUCGCCUUGACUCCUUGGUGGUUCCCUGGCCGCGGCGACCGGUGGUCCCACGUCCAGCCGGGCUCAGUGAGCUUCCCCGGGCGCUGCCUGGACAGGCCUGCCUGCGUGCUGGGACAUGUCUGGCCUCCAAGGACCGUCGGUGGGCGAUGGCUGCAACGGUGGAGGGGCCAGAGCUGGAGGCAGCUGCUGCCGCAGGAGAUGCUUCAGAGGAUUCGGACGCAGGGUCCAGGGCGCUGCCUUUCCUGGGCGGCAACCGGCUGAGCUUGGACCUGUACCCCGGGGGCUGCCAGCAGCUGCUGCACCUGUGUGUCCAGCAGCCUCUGCAGCUGCUGCAGGUGGAAUUCUUGCGUCUGAGCACUCACGAGGACCCUCAGCUGCUGGAGGCCACCCUGGCCCAGCUGCCUCAGAGCCUGUCCUGCCUCCGCUCCCUGGUCCUCAAAGGGUCGAUCUGGGACCUCGGACCCUGGCUCUGAGGGCCACAUCCGCCUCCCCCCUUCCCAGGAGGGCAACGCCGGGACACACUGGGUGCCUGUCUCCGGGGUGCCCUGACCAACCUGCCCGCUGGUCUGAGUGGCCUGGCCCAUCUGGCCCACCUGGACCUGAGCUUCAACAGCCUGGAGACACUGCCGGCCUGUGUCCUGCAGAUGCGAGGUCUGGGUGCGCUCUUGCUGUCUCACAACUGCCUCUCUGAGCUGCCUGAGGCUCUGGGGGCC
rnacentral:lncRNA from 1 species